GAAAAGGAGAUACUAAUCGAAUGCCAAAGCAGUGAACGAAGACGGGAGAUGGAGGCUCGCAUGGUGCUCAAUCCGGAUUUGCUUGAUCGAUCGAUCGCGAAGGAGGAUGUCGUCUCCGGUGUUUGACGUAGCCGAAGAAGAUAAGGAUCGAAGCGGCGGGGGAAGAGGCGUACGAGGGUAGCGGCGUUGCUUCCGGUUCCUCGGUCUUGGCAGACCACGAAGAAGGCCGAAGGCAAGAGGAAGCUCGCAGCGACUAAUCAGGGGGUUUUUGGGGUCGAUUGCUUGCGAAGGCGGUGUUUCCGGGAUCGAAAGGGGCCGAAGAGAGGGAAAAGGAAAAGCAGCGAAGCGGCUGGGAUUUCGGAAGUGGAGCUCGACGGAAAAGAAGAAUGGUGCGAUGGGCGAAAAGGGAAAGAGAUUCAAGGAUUUUCAGAUCGAUGGUUUGGUAUGGCUGUUCUUGGCUGCUCUUCUCCUCGUUCGAUCGGAAGUAAACACGAAGGAAAUGGGAAACAGUUUGGAUUGAAGAGUAAGGACGAAGCAGCAACCGGGAAUGAAGAAGAUGGUGAUCAGAAGAUGUUGGAGUGUUCUCGUUUUGCUUGCACGAUUAAUGAAAGGGAAUGGCAGCAAGCAACCCAUUUCUGGUACGAUAGGAUAAUUGAAAAGUGUUAAGGAAACUUUUAGGCUUUCUUUUUAGUUAAAUGAAAACUCCAAACUUGUGCAAUUUAUUUGAACUAUUCGUUUAAUUAUUUGUGUAUUUUGUAUAAUGUAUUUGUUUCAUUAUGUAUGUAAUGUGUGUAUUUGUUUCAUUUGGUAUGUCUUAUUAAAUUAUAGUGGUUCAAUAAUUAUGUAUUUUGUGUA